rnacentral:rRNA from 1 species
AACGAACGUUGGCGGCGUGCCUAAUACAUGCAAGUCGAGCGAGAAACGGGUAGCAAUACCCGGAGUACAGCGGCGAAAGGGUGCGUAUGACAUGAAGAACGUACCCCUCCGUUUGGAAUAACCCAGCGAAAGCUGGGCUAAUACCGGAUACGGCCGCGGUGACGCCUGUCACUGCGGUGAAAGUCGCAAGACGCGGAUGGAGCGCUUCAUGGCCUAUCAGCUAGUUGGCGGGGUAACGGCCCACCAAGGCGAUGACGGGUAGCCGGACUGAGAGGUCGACCGGCCACACGGGGACUGAGACACGGCCCCGACAUCUACGGAUGGCAGCAGUAGGGAAUAUUGCGCAAUGGGCGAAAGCCUGACGCAGCGACGCCGCGUGGGGGAUGAAGGCCUUCGGUUGUAAACCCUUUCAUGUGGGACGAACACUGACUUAACCACAGGAAGAAGCACCGGCUAACUCCGUGCCAGCAGCUGCGGUAAGACGGAGAGUGCAAACGUUGUUCGGAUUUACG